UACGAAGGGGGCUAGCGUUGUUCGGAAUCACUGGGCGUAAAGGGCGCGUAGGCGGCUUUGUAAGUCGGGGGUGAAAGCCUGUGGCUCAACCACAGAAUUGCCUUCGAUACUGCGAGGCUUGAGACCGGAAGAGGUUAGUGGAACUGCGAGUGUAGAGGUGAAAUUCGUAGAUAUUCGCAAGAACACCAGUGGCGAAGGCGGCUGACUGG
rnacentral:rRNA from 1 species